AGCAGCCGCGGUAAUUCCAGCUCCAAUAGCGUAUAUUAAAGUUGUUGCAGUUAAAAAGCUCGUAGUUGAAUUUCGGAAUCAGUACGCUGGUCGUGCCUUCGGUAUGUACUGGUGUCACUGGUUUCUCCCUUCUGAAGAACCAUCAUGCCAUUCACUUGGUGUGGUGGGAAAUCAGGACUGUUACUUUGAAAAAAUUAGAGUGUUUAAAGCAGGCUCGCGCUUGAAUACAUUAGCAUGGAAUAAUGAAAUAGGACGUUAAUCCUAUUUUGUUGGUUUCUAGGAUCGACGUAAUGAUUAAUAGGGAUAGUUGGGGGCAUUAGUAUUCAAUUGUCAGAGGUGAAAUUCUUGGAUUUAUUGAAGACUAACUACUGCGAAAGCAUUUGCCAAGGAUGUUUUCAUUAAUCAAGAACGAAAGUUAGGGGAUCGAAGACGGUCAGAUACCGUCGUAGUCUUAACCAUAAACUAUGCCAACUAGGGAUCGGAUGAUGUUAAUUUUUAAUGACUCAUUCGGCGCCUUAAC
rnacentral:rRNA from 1 species